CAUGGCUGCGCCCUCGCAAACUAUGGGCCAGCAACAUUUGUCAACAGUACACAUAUCUCGUCUAUAGUUCGUAUAAGGCAUUGUUGUUGUUGUUGUUGGAAUUUGGUUAAUGGUAAUGUGACAGAAGAGCCAUGGGGAGGAAAGAUGCCCGCAGACAGCAAUUACAUGUAGAUCAGUACAGGAAAGAAAUUGGUAAUGAGGAGUAUAAAAAAACAAAGAAAGAAAUAAAAAAGGCCAGAAGUAAAGCUUUAGCUAAAGACGCUAACUGGAAUAUUAGGGAUGUGGCUAUGAUAUCAUUUGCGAUGUUAGUCCUGGUAUUUGCAGUGUAUGGAUUUUUUUUCAUCUAUCUGGAAUCUGACCCUCGUUCCUGAGAUACUGCCUCUACAUAUAUUUCAACACCCUGAUCACCUUUCUUGUAAUUUCUAAAACCCUGUUUCCAUGUUGUUUAUAUGUUUGUUUUUGUGCCAGUAUCUUAAAUGCACCCUUUGUAAAUUUGAUUAUUCAGGAGGGAGGGUGUAUCAAUUAAUAUCACUCAAAUAACCUAGAUAGAAACUUUAAACAUACUGCUAUCUAUUUCACAGCAUUACUAUCAAAACUAAUAUUUAAAUUAAUUAUGUCUCUUACAUCAAUUAUAUCUCUACAAGGAGAUAUACCAAAUGUUAUACAACAGGAAGUUGGAAUAACUUGUGUUAAUUUUUAAUACAUGUAUAUAUUUGUCUCAUUCUUUCAACUACCCAAGUAUUAUAAACUAGAUUUUCGUCAUGGCAUUUUGUUUUUUGGCAUUUUUGUACAAAUUCUAAUCCUUGAAACGAAAACACCAUGAUGAAAGUCUACUUAAUAAUAGUGGGGGAGUUGAAAGAAAAGAGAAAUAUAAAUAUUUAUUCCUAAUUAAAAAUUAACACAUCUUAUUCCAACUUUCUGUGGAUAUCCAUAACCAUUUGUGACAUUUAUUGACCUAGGUUUCAGGGUACCUUGAACAUUUCAUGUUCAUUUCUAUGCAUC